ACAGCCAUAUCAUGUUGAAAAUCUGGUUCUCAUACUAUCCCUGAAGUUAAGCAAAAUUGAGCUCGGUGAGUACCUAGAUGGGUGACUGCUUGGAAAUACCAGGUACAGUAA